GCUGGGUGUGGUGGUGCACGCCUGUAGUCCCAGCUACUCAGGAGGCUGAGGCAGGAGGCUUGCUUGGGCCCAGGAAAUUUGAGGUUAUGGUGAGCUAUGAUCAUGGCACUGCACUCUAGCCUGGGUGAGAGAGUGAGACCCUCUCUCUU
rnacentral:SRP_RNA from 1 species